AGCGAACGCUGGCGGCAGGCUUAACACAUGCAAGUCGAGCGGGCAUCCUUGUGGUGUCAGCGGCAGACGGGUGAGUAACGCGUGGGAACGUGCCCUUCGGUUCGGAAUAACUCAGGGAAACUUGAGCUAAUACCGGAUACGUGCGAGAGCAGAAAGGUUUAUCUGCCGAAGGAUCGGCCCGCGUCUGAUUAGCUAGUUGGUGAGGUUACGGCUCACCAAGGCGACGAUCAGUAGCUGGUCUGAGAGGAUGAUCAGCCACACUGGGACUGAGACACGGCCCAGACUCCUACGGGAGGCAGCAGUGGGGAAUAUUGGACACUGGGGGCAACCCUGAUCCAGCCAUGCCGCGUGAGUGAUGACGGCCUUAGGGUUGUAAAGCUCUUUUCUCCGGGACGAUAAUGACGGUACCGGAGGAAUAAGCCCCGGCUAACUUCGUG
rnacentral:rRNA from 1 species